CUACGGGGGGCAGCAGUAGGGAAUCUUCCGCAAUGGACGAAAGUCUGACGGAGCAACGCCGCGUGAGUGAUGAAGGUUUUCGGAUCGUAAAACUCUGUUGCUAGGGAAGAACAAGUACGAGAGUAACUGCUCGUACCUUGACGGUACCUAACCAGAAAGCCACGGCUAACUACGUGCCAGCAGCCGCGGUAAUACGUAGGUGGCAAGCGUUGUCCGGAAUUAUUGGGCGUAAAGCGCGCGCAGGCGGUCCUUUAAGUCUGAUGUGAAAGCCCACGGCUCAACCGGGGAGGGUCAUUGGAACUGGGGGACUUGAGUGCAGAAGAGAAGAGUGGAAUUCCACGUGUAGCGGUGAAAUGCGUAGAGAUGUGGAGGAACACCAGUGGCGAAGGCGACUCUUUGGUCUGUAACUGACGCUGAGGCGCGAAAGCGUGGGGAGCAAACAGGAUUAGAUACCCUAGUAGUC
rnacentral:rRNA from 1 species